GACAGAGGGUGCAAACGUUGUCCGGAUUCAUUGGGCGUAAAGAGCGUGUAGGCGCCAGGUAGGUCGGUUGUGAAAACUGGAGGCUCAACCUUCAGAGGUCGACCGAAACCAUCUGGCUAGAGUCCGGGAGAGGAGAGUGGGAAUUCCUGGUGUAGCGGUGAAAUGCGUAGAUAUCGGGAGGAACACCAGUGGCGAAGGCGACUACCUGCCUGUUCUUGACGCUGAGGCGCGAAAGCUAGGGGAGCAACGGGG
rnacentral:rRNA from 1 species